UCUAAAAUGAAUAAAUAAAUGGGAAAAGAU
rnacentral:piRNA from 1 species